rnacentral:rRNA from 1 species
CCUACGGGAGGCAGCAGUGAGGAAUGUUGGGCAAUGGGCUUACGCCUGAACCAGCCAAGUCGCGUGAGGGAAGACUGCCCUAUGGGUUGUAAACCUCUUUUGUCAGGGAGCAAGUGGCGCUACGUGUAGCGUUAUCGAUAGUACCUGCAUACAGAGCAUCGGCUAACUCCGUGCCAGCAGCCCCGGUAAUACGGAGGAUGCGAGCGUUAUCCGGAUUGAUUGGUUUUAAGGGGUGCGUAGGCGGAAUGCAAAGUCAGCGGGAAAAUCGCGGGGCUCAACCUCGCUCCGCCGUUGAAACUGGCGUGCUAGAGUGGGUGAGAAGUAGGCGGAAUG